rnacentral:lncRNA from 1 species
AAAAAAAUCCUAAAAAUCUAAAUUACUAAAUCUAAAGUAAAACUAAUUAAUCUAACUAUAUAUUGAUGGCUUAACUAGACAAAGACUAAUUAUUUCGAGGGACUUUAAAACACAGAGAUAGGUUCAGUGAGAAGCCAACUGUAAGACAAGGAUUUCAGUGCAAUUAACAACAGUAAGGAGUGGUGAAGCCAGUCAAUAAAGGGCAUGUUAUCAAGCCCACUACCACUGCGCGCGACUGCAGCUGAAUACAGUUGGGAAACUGGGAAAUAGUACCGGAUGUGGGCAAUUUAUCAGAGUCAACAACCUGGUUUUUUCAGCAAAUAAAUGGCAAGAGAACAAAGAGGAAGUGGAACUCCUUUAGAUUAAUAGAGGUUUAAAAGGCAUCAACAAAAUGUAACAUAUGGCUUUAAUUUGCAUCCUCAUUCAAACAAACCAACUGUAAAGUUAUAUUUAUGAGACAAGCAG